rnacentral:rRNA from 1 species
AAUGAACGUUGGCGGCGUGGAUUAGGCAUGCAAGUCGUACGGGUCGGUGUAGCAAUACAACGGCAAGUGGCGAAAGGGAGAGUAACACGUAGAUACCUACCCUCUGGUCGGGGAUACCGCGGCAUAACCGCAAGUAAUACCCGAUAAAAUCUCCGGAUCAAAGGUGUGAUUCCGCCGGAGGAGGGGUCUGCGUUCUAUCAGCUUGUUGGUGAGGUAAUGGCUCACCAAGGCUAAGACGGAUACGGGGUGUGAGGGCAUGCCCCCGCUCACUGGGACUGGGACACGGCCCGGACACCUACGGGUGGCUGCAGUCGAGAAUCUUCGGCCAUGGGCGCAAGCCUGACCGAGCGACGCCGCGUGCGGGAUGAAGGCCUUCGGGUUGUAAACCGCUGUCGAGGGGAAUGAAGUGUAGGUGGGUACUCCCAUCUAUUUGACAGAUCCCUGGAGGAAGCAUGGGCUAAGUUCGUGCCAGCCGCCGCGGUAACAC